rnacentral:rRNA from 1 species
UACGUAGGUGGCGAGCGUUGUCCGGAUUCAUUGGGCGUAAAGGGUGCGUAGGCGGCGCGGUAAGUCGGGUGUGAAAUCUCGGAGCUUAACUCCGAAACUGCAUUCGAUACUGCCGUGCUUGAGGACUGGAGAGGAGACUGGAAUUCCUGGUGUAGCAGUGAAAUGCGUAGAUAUCAGGAGGAACACCGAUGGCGAAGGCAGGUCUCUGGGCUGAAACUGACGCUCAUGCACGAAAGCGUGGGGAGCAAACAGG